CCCCGCCCCCCGCGCCGCCAGCCUCUGGGAUGUGCCCCCAGAGCCUGCCAGGCCCGGCCACACGGGGCUCCAGAGAAGUUCCCCGCCGCUAGCACCACCGCCGCCACCGCCAGGCCAGCGCCCUCGGCACGGAGACACCCGGCGGACCUCCUUCUCUGACUCCUCGGGGGAGAUGGGCGGACCCCGUGAAUGCCCUCCUUUCCUUCCUUCCGCGUCGCUUUUCCGUGGAAAGGGCUCAGUGGCAUUGCCGUCGCAAACCUGACAACAGUUGCACCCAGAGAACUCUUGCCAAUAUGAAAAGUGCAAUAGAGAAGUUCGUAGAACUGAAGAAAUGAAUUGCAUUCCCAGUUCUAAUCAGCUUCCUUGAUUAAUCCCACCUACUGUGUGCCAGACGCUGGGGAUACGUGAGUAAACGAAACAGACAAAAUCACCUGCCCUUUGGGAGCUGCGGUUCUUGCGAGCUGGGCUGCGACUGUGACCCAGGGCCAAGGCGCUCAGCUUCUCUUUCUCUUUCAGUUAGAAGAUGAUGCCCGUCUCAUACCUCACAUGCCUGCAUACCUCACAUAUUAAAUGUAGGAAGAUAAUGGCAUAAUAAAGACACAGAACUUUCUGGACAUUAUAAAGAACUCCAUAAGCCUCACACAUCAGACUUCACGGAGUACGAUCUUAACCAUUUUUAGAGUUCAAAGUCCAACUUGAAAAAGUAAAUAAUAAGUAGUGAUAGCAUCUGGUACUUAGUCUCUGAUCAGUUAGAAAACCUAACCGGCAAAAAGUGAAGUUCUUAAGAGUUUAUUUUAAAAUUUCAAGUUAUUAGAUUUCUCUCGUGUCCACACACACACAGGGCAAUCGCGGAAUCCACCUGCAAUUAAUUGUCUGGCUUUAGCUCCCCUGAAUUGAGAUAUCAUGCUCCCUCUGUUUGUGAAAAAUGACUCAAGCUAUCCUGGAAAAGGGGUGAAUGGACCCAGGGUUUGUCUUCUCUACGUCAUCAUUGCCAAGAAGCCCUAUACAACACAGUCUGAGAACGACUGUCUCACAGGAAGCACGAAAUGA
rnacentral:lncRNA from 1 species